rnacentral:rRNA from 1 species
UGCAAGUCGAGCGGAUGAAGGGAGCUUGCUCCUGGAUUCAGCGGCGGACGGGUGAGUAAUGCCUAGGAAUCUGCCUGGUAGUGGGGGAUAACGUCCGGAAACGGGCGCUAAUACCGCAUACGUCCUGAGGGAGAAAGUGGGGGAUCUUCGGACCUCACGCUAUCAGAUGAGCCUAGGUCGGAUUAGCUAGUUGGUGGGGUAAAGGCCUACCAAGGCGACGAUCCGUAACUGGUCUGAGAGGAUGAUCAGUCACACUGGAACUGAGACACGGUCCAGACUCCUACGGGAGGCAGCAGUGGGGAAUAUUGGACAAUGGGCGAAAGCCUGAUCCAGCCAUGCCGCGUGUGUGAAGAAGGUCUUCGGAUUGUAAAGCACUUUAAGUUGGGAGGAAGGGCAGUAAGUUAAUACCUUGCUGUUUUGACGUUACCAACAGAAUAAGCACCGGCUAACUUCGUGCCAGCAGCCGCGGUAAUACGAAGGGUGCAAGCGUUAAUCGGAAUUACUGGGCGUAAAGCGCGCGUAGGUGGUUCAGCAAGUUGGAUGUGAAAUCCCCGGGCUCAACCUGGGAACUGCAUCCAAAACUACUGAGCUAGAGUACGGUAGAGGGUGGUGGAAUUUCCUGUGUAGCGGUGAAAUGCGUAGAUAUAGGAAGGAACACCAGUGGCGAAGGCGACCACCUGGACUGAUACUGACACUGAGGUGCGAAAGCGUGGGGAGCAAACAGGAUUAGAUACCCUGGUAGUCCACGCCGUAAACGAUGUCGACUAGCCGUUGGGAUCCUUGAGAUCUUAGUGGCGCAGCUAACGCGAUAAGUCGACCGCCUGGGGAGUACGGCCGCAAGGUUAAAACUCAAAUGAAUUGACGGGGGCCCGCACAAGCGGUGGAGCAUGUGGGUUAAUUCGAAGCAACGCGAAGAACCUUACCUGGCCUUGACUGCUGAGAACUUUCCAGAGAGGAUUGGGGCCUUCGGGAACUCGAACCAGGUG